rnacentral:tRNA from 1 species
CUCCCUGUGGCUCAGUUGGUAGAGCAUGGUGUUUGCAAUGGUGUUUGCAACGCCAGGGUUGUGGGUUUGAUUCCCAUUAGGGGCC